rnacentral:rRNA from 1 species
CAAGUCGAGCGAGAACCGGGCUUCGGCCCGGGGAGAGCGGCGAACGGGUGCGUAUCACGUGAGCAACCUGCCUCAGAGACCGGGAUAACUCGAGGAAACUCGGGCUAAUACCGGAUGCCCUCGGUGGAUCGCAUGGUCCGGCGAGGAAAUGGAUUCCGCUCUGAGAUGGGCUCGCGGCCUAUCAGCUUGUUGGUGGGGUAACGGCCUACCAAGGCGACGACGGGUAGCUGGUCUGAGAGGACGAUCAGCCACACUGGGACUGAGACACGGCCCAGACUCCUACGGGAGGCAGCAGUAGGGAAUCUUGCGCAAUGGGCGAAAGCCUGACGCAGCGACGCCGCGUGCGGGAUGAAGGCCUUCGGGUCGUAAACCGCUUUCAGCAGGGACGAAAUUGACGGUACCUGCAGAAGAAGGCCCGGCCAACUACGUGCCAGCAGCCGCGGUGAUACGUAGGGGUCUAGCGUUGUCCGGAAUCAUUGGGCGUAAAGAGCUCGUAGGCGGUUCGGCAAGUCGGAUGUGAAAUCUCCACGCUCAACGUGGAGGGGCCAUUCGAAACUGCCGUGACUCGAGUCCGGUAGGGGAGUGCGGAAUUCCCGGUGUAGCGGUGAAAUGCGCAGAUAUCGGGAGGAACACCAGUGGCGAAGGCGGCACUCUGGGCCGGAACUGACGCUGAGGAGCGAAAGCGUGGGGAGCGAACAGGAUUAGAUACCCUGGUAGUCCACGCCGUAAACGUUGGGCACUAGGUGUGGGACUCUAUCGACGGGUUCCGUGCCGUAGCUAACGCAUUAAGUGCCCCGCCUGGGGAGUACGGCCGCAAGGCUAAAACUCAAAGGAAUUGACGGGGGCCCGCACAAGCGGCGGAGCGUGUGGCUCAUUCGAUGCAACGCGAAGAACCUUACCUGGGCUUGACAUGUACGGUAAA